AAUGAACGCUGGCGGCAGGCCUAACACAUGCAAGUCGAACGAGGCAGCAAUGCCUAGUGGCGGACGGGUGAGUAACGCGUGGGAACGUGCCCCUUGGUCCGGAAUAGCCCUGGGAAACUGGGAGUAAUACCGUAUGUGGUCGAGAGACGAAAGAUUUAUCGCCAAGGGAUCGGCCCGCGUUGGAUUAGGUAGUUGGUGGGGUAAUGGCCUACCAAGCCGACGAUCCAUAGCUGGUUUGAGAGGAUGAUCAGCCACACUGGGACUGAGACACGGCCCAGACUCCUACGGGAGGCAGCAGUGGGGAAUCUUAGACAAUGGGGGAAACCCUGAUCUAGCCAUGCCGCGUGAUCGAUGAAGGCCUUAGGGUUGUAAAGAUCUUUCAGUGGGGAAGAUAAUGACGGUACCCACAGAAGAAGCCCCGGCUAACUCCGUGCCAGCAGCAGCCGCAGUAA
rnacentral:rRNA from 1 species